CGCCACAAACUGCUUCGCUUAACAAUAUGAUACGACAGCUAAAAGCAGUCUUCGUCUGUUCUCAGGGAAGAAACACAUGUAAAGCCUUUAGGCUAUGGCCUGAGCAAGCCGACUCGAUUGGGUGUACAUGCUCGCCAUCGAAAAGUCACCGGCGGCACGUAUUGCAUGAAAGUCGAGACACGAGUCAGAUGUCGAUGCAGUGGACGUGGAACCCG
rnacentral:lncRNA from 1 species